rnacentral:lncRNA from 1 species
CAGACAUCAAUCACCUUGGGUGGGAGACUGGGUUCUGGCUUCACGUGAAGACAUCUGCUCCCAGGCUCUCUGAGACAACAGUGAAUUCUGCUUAGAGAUGAAAUUGCACAUGAAGGAGAAUGUAGAGCAGAAUCCCUGAAACCUGAUGAUCCCUUUAAAGGAGUUUGGAGAACUUCAAGCACAGCCUCUCCACUAAACACCAUUCAA